CCUACGGGUGGCAGCAGUGGGGAAUAUUGGGCAAUGGGCGCAAGCCUGACCCAGCAACGCCGCGUGAAGGAAGAAGGCUUUCGGGUUGUAAACUUCUUUUGUCAGGGACGAAACAAGUGACGGUACCUGACGAAUAAGCCACGGCUAACUACGUGCCAGCCGCCGCGGUACUACGUAGGUGGCAAGCGUUAUCCGGAUUUACUGGGUGUAAAGGGAGUGUAGGCGGGGAAGCAAGUCAGAUGUGAAAACCACGGGCGCAACCUGUGGCCUGCAUUUGAAACUGUUUUUCUUGAGUGCUGGAGAGGCAAUCGGAAUUCCGUGUGUAGCGGUGAAAUGCGUAGAUAUACGGAGGAACACCAGUGGCGAAGGCGGAUUGCUGGACAGUAACUGACGCUGAGGCGCGAAAGCGUGGGGAGCAAACAGGAUUAGAUACCCGUGUAGUC
rnacentral:rRNA from 1 species